rnacentral:tRNA from 1 species
GCGGAUGUGGCGGAAUUGGUAUACGCGCACGUUUGAGGGGCGUGUGGCGAAAGCCUUGCGAGUUCGAGUCUCGCCAUCCGCA